UACAGAGGGUGCGAGCGUUAAUCGGAAUUACUGGGCGUAAAGGGCGCGUAGGCCGAUAGAUGAGUUAGGUGUGACAUACCUGGGGUUAACCUGGGAGUGGCAUUUAAUACUGUCUGGCUAGAAUAGAGUAGAUGGGAGCGGAAUUUAGGGUGUAGCGGUUAAAUGCGUAGAUAUCGGAAAGAACAUCGGUGGCGAAGGCGUCUCUCUGGACUCAUAUUGACGCUGAGGCGCGAAGGCAUGAGUAGCAAACAGG
rnacentral:rRNA from 1 species